AGUGAACGCUGGCGGUAGGCCUAACACAUGCAAGUCGAACGGCAGCACAGGAGAGCUUGCUCUCUGGGUGGCGAGUGGCGGACGGGUGAGGAAUACAUCGGAAUCUACCUUUUCGUGGGGGAUAACGUAGGGAAACUUACGCUAAUACCGCAUACGACCUACGGGUGAAAGUGGGGGACCGCAAGGCCUCACGCGAUUAGAUGAGCCGAUGUCCGAUUAGCUAGUUGGCGGGGUAAUGGCCCACCAAGGCGACGAUCGGUAGCUGGUCUGAGGGGAUGAACAGCCACACUGGAACUGAGACACGGUCCAGACUCCUACGGGAGGCAGCAGUGGGGAAUAUUGGACAAUGGGCGCAAGCCUGAUCCAGCCAUACCGCGUGGGUGAAGAAGGCCUUCGGGUUGUAAAGCCCUUUUGUUGGGAAAGAAAUCCUGUCGAUUAAUACUCGGUGGGGAUGACGGUACCCAAAGAAUAAGCACCGGCUAACUUCGUGCCAGCCGCCGCCGUAAUAC
rnacentral:rRNA from 1 species